AUUGAACGCUGGCGGCAGGCUUAACACAUGCAAGUCGAACGAGUGGCGGACGGGUGAGUAAUGCUUGGGAAUCUAGCUUAUGGCGGGGGAUAACUACUGGAAACUGUCGCUAAUACCGCGUACCAUAGGAUCAGCCCAAGUGGGAUUAGGUAGUUGGUGAGGUAAAGGCUCACCAAGGAAACGAUCACUAGCUGGUCUGAGAGGAUGACCAGCAACACUGGGACUGAGACACGGCCCAGACUCCGACGGGAGGCAGCAGUGGGGAAUAUUGCGCAAUGGGGGCAACCUGACGCAGCCAUGCCGCGUGAAUGAAGAAGGCCUUCGGGUUGUAAAGUUCUUUCGGUAGAGAAGCGUUAACUGCAGAAGAAGCACCGGCUAACUCCGUGCCAGCAGCCGCGGUAAUUC
rnacentral:rRNA from 1 species